rnacentral:rRNA from 1 species
UGGGGAAUAUUGCACAAUGGGCGCAACCCUGAUGCAGCCAUGCCGCGUGUAUGAAGAAGGCCUUCGGGUUGUAAAGUACUUUCAGCGGGGAGGAAGGCGAUAAGGUUAAUAACCUUGUCGAUUGACGUUACCCGCAGAAGAAGCACCGGCUAACUCCGUGCCAGCAGCCGCGGCAAUACGGAGGGUGCAAGCGUUAAUAGGAAUUACUGGGCGUAAAGCGCACGCAGGCGGUCUGUCAAGUCGGAUGUGAAAUCCCCGGGCUCAACCUGGGAACUGCAUUCGAAACUGGCAGGCUAGAGUCUUGUAGAGGGGGGUAGAAUUCCAGGUGUAGCGGUGAAAUGCGUAGAGAUCUGGAGGAAUACCGGUGGCGAAGGCGGCCCCCUGGACAAAGACUGACGCUCAGGUGCGAAAGCGUGGGGAGCAAACA